GUAGCCGAGUUGGUAGCGUGCGUUUACCAUUAAAUUGUUUAAAUUUUUUUUCUUAAAAUAACAUACAAUUUAAAUAUACUUAUACAACCGGAUAUGUCACUUUUUGUCCUAAGCAAAAUCUGUCGUCAGAAAAGUCUGAAUAAAAAUGAAUAUGAAGUUUCAGUUUGGUCGUGGCGCAUAGGUUGCAAAUCCGUCUUUGACCCUAGCCAUAUGAGUUGCGUUGCUAUCCAUAAUCGACCCGAAAAUUCAAUGAACUGAGAGUGUAAUGUCUAUCAUUUCGAAAGUCUAUUUAUAUGGCAAACAAAUCAUGAUCACUAAACUCCUCAAUCCCAUGGCAGCAGGUUCUACGUAUCAGAUUGACCCGGUGGAGUUCUUCAUCGGCAAGGGGUGCCUUCUCAGUGCAUAACACACUGCUACAACAACAAAAACAACUUGACUCUUAUUGGAAAAAAACUAACGAAGUUUAAAACUCAAUUCUUUAUGUAAUAAAAAAGAAACACAUUCAUAAUUUCUUGCCGAAAAUAUAAUGCAAUAUUCACGAAUAUUCCGCUAAGGAACUGCAAGGAUACUUCUCUCAUAUCAAUUAGUGCGAUAAGCUCUAUGUUAAGAAAACUCCUUUGUAUUGCUGAGUCCGAACGACUUGCCGCAGAGCGACAACAUUUAGUAGAGAAACUUACACAGCUGAUUAUCUAAACUCAAUACCUCGCAAGAGUCGCACACCCCUCAAAAUAUUUUCUGAUGUCCUCCCCGAGAUUUGAACCCAGACCCUUUGCGCCAUAGCUACGCUGACCGAAAGUAUAUUAAUAAAACAAAACAAAAUAUUGCUGAAUUAAAAUUCUAUAAUAUAUUUUUCUCUAUCCAUA
rnacentral:sRNA from 1 species